AAACCAACAGGGAUUACCUCAGUAACGGCGAGUGAAGCGGUAACAGCUCAAAUUUGAAAUCUGGGUCUUUCAGGCUCCGAGUUGUAAUUUGUAGAAGAUGCUUCGGGUGCGGCUCCGGUCUAAGUUCCUUGGAACAGGACGUCAUAGAGGGUGAGAAUCCCGUAUGUGAUCGGUUGCUUGCGCCCAUGUGAAGCUCUUUCGACGAGUCGAGUUGUUUGGGAAUGCAGCUCAAAAUGGGUGGUAAAUUUCAUCUAAAGCUAAAUAUUGGCCAGAGACCGAUAGCGCACAAGUAGAGUGAUCGAAAGAUGAAAAGCACUUUGGAAAGAGAGUUAAACAGUACGUGAAAUUGUUGAAAGGGAAGCGCUUGCAACCAGACUUGCGCGUUGCCGAUCAUCCGGGGUUCUCCCCGGUGCACUCGGCCUCGCUCAGGCCAGCAUCGGUUUUGGUGGUGGGAUAAAGGCCUUAGGAAUGUAGCUCCUUUCGGGGAGUGUUAUAGCCCUCGGUGCAAUGCCGCCUACCGGGACCGAGGACCGCGCUUCGGCUAGGAUGCUGGCGUAAUGGUUGUAAGCGAC
rnacentral:rRNA from 1 species